rnacentral:miRNA from 2 species
UAUUGCACUAGCCCCGGUCCAA